AGCUCCAAUAGCGUAUAUUAAAGUUGUUGCCGUUAAAAAGCUCGUAGUCGAACUUCGGCCUCUGCCGCCCGGUCCGCCUAAUUGGGUGUGUACUGGAGCGGUGGAGGCUUACCUCGUGGUGAACGGCCAUGCCCUUUACUGGGUGUGGUCGGGAACCAUGACUUUUACUGUGAAAAAAUUAGAGUGUUCAAAGCAGGCUUACGCCCGAAUACAUUAGCAUGGAAUAAUAAAAUAGGACGUGCGGUCCUAUUUUGUUGGUUUCUAGGAUCGCCGUAAUGAUUAAUAGGGAUAGUUGGGGGCAUUCGUAUUCAAUUGUCAGAGGUGAAAUUCUUGGAUUUAUUGAAGACGAACUACUGCGAAAGCAUUUGCCAAGGAUGUUUUCAUUG
rnacentral:rRNA from 1 species